rnacentral:lncRNA from 1 species
CCUUUUUUGAUAUUCUUUGAUCUGAAAUUUAAAAUAUAUUAUUCUGAAUGAUUUAAAAUAUGACUAGAAUAUGUUGAAAUUUUAUAUGUAUUGAAAACAUGAUUUUUAUUUGAAUUUAGAAUGCUAUUUCCUUGUAUUAAAACUUAUCUCCCAGUCUCUCUUUUAAUGUCUUAUGAUUUCUAGUCAAAUUUAGAAUGUUAUUUCCUUGUAUUAAAGCUUUUCUCCUCAUCUAUCUUUUAAUGCAUUAUUAUGUUUUUAUUUAUGUUGUUAAUGGGUAUAUGCUAUGAUAUGAAAUUGAAUAUUAAUUGGAAUGAAAUUGCUCACAGGCCAGGCCCAACCCACGGGUCAGGCCUUGGCCCGUAGGCUACCCUAGCCCAACCAUUAUGGGUGGUCACAUGCGACACACAUGACUAGUCCAUGAGCCAAGGCUGGGCCAGUUUUGUGUAAUGCAUGCUCAAUCAUGUAUAAUGCACAUAACCAGUGGAUGGACUGGCUCAAUCUAGCCCAAUAUUAUUGUUGAACUUAAGCCCAAAUAUUAAUUGAACUAAACUAGACUUGAUUAGUCUAGAUCAAUUCAGGGUGAUUUCGAAUUGAUUGACUUAUUCAAGUUAGUUUAACCUAAAUUGAACUUAAUCUAGUCUAAAUUAUACUAGUCUAGGGUGGUUCCAGACCAGUUAAAUAAGGAUUAGAGAUCAGUUCAGUUAGGCUCUAGUAAAUCGAGUUCAAUUGAAUCGAUUAAACUAGAGUUCAAGUCAAUUGAG